rnacentral:lncRNA from 1 species
AUCAAUUCAAAGUAUUCAAAUGAAAAUAUAGUCUUUUAAAGGGGUACCGACAGAUUCAGAAAAUAUAAAUGAAAGUAUUUUUUCAAUAGUUUUCUUAGGAAUUGAUACCUUACAGUCAUGAUGACAGUCAGCAUGUUUAUAACUUCCAAAAAAAUCUAGAGAUAUUUUUGGUAUUAAAUGAUUCUUGAAAGAUAUUUAAGAUAUAAGAGUUGGUGGUAAAUAUACCAGAUUUUCAAUUAAAUUCUGUAGUUUUUCAAUAGUGUGUAAUUAUUCAUAAGAUUGUGGAAAUUAUUUUUACCUAUAUAUUUGUUAGAAUGUACCUAAUUCUGGAAAGAUCAAUUUAUUGGUGUUUAUUUCAUUGUUUGGAGUGUAGAAAAUGAGUAAGGCAUGGGAUUUCACUUGGUUUUCAACAUAUUUGAGUAUUUUUUGUACCAAAUAAUAAAAAAAGGGUUGUGUAAUUAUAUUAUAAAUCUAAAUUCCUGCUUUUAAAAAUAAGUUAAGACAUGGCUUAACAAUGGCAAUCAUACAAACAAUAUAAUAGAUAAGGAAAAGGGGUGAUGUUUUUCUUUUGUCAUUACUGAAUACAUGAUGUAUAUUAUUACAAAAUAUUUAUACAAAUAUGCUUAUAUGGCAAAAAUAACCAUUGUUUUUAACAGAGAGAGAGAGAGUGAAAUUUUUGUCUAUGAAAGUAAAUGGUUGUGUGUUUGUGGGUGUGAGUGUGUGUGUGUUUGUGGGUGUGAGUGUGUGUGUGUUUGAAGGAUAUCUGUGUGCAUAUUUAGACAUUUUGAAGAAAAUAGUAGUGUUCCAUAUAAAUACUUUUGUUAGUAUCAGAGAAGCUGAACAUUUUACUCAAAUUGAAAAGGUUGAUUAGAACAGAUAUUUUUUUUUUAAUAAUUUAAUUUCAUUGAUCUUAAAAAUGAUCUCACGUAGGAUAUAUGAACAUUAUAAUCAGGCUUUUCAAAACAAAAAAAAGUUAAAUUCUAUUUAAGUUUUAUGCUUUUAAUUCUGAGACAUGACAAAUAUUUGUAUGAAACACUGUAUUAACAUGAUGGGGGGGAGGGGCUAAAUGUUUUACUUUGACCUUUUUAGUCAAGGAUAUGUAGCUUGUUUUAACAAGCUACUGAAAAUAAAUGAUAAAAGACUAAAUACUAACUCUAAUUUUUACACCCAAAUAACCGAUUGGAAACAUUGGAACGUAACUAAAAUUAGAGUUAUAUAUAGUUUUGACCAGUUUGAGGGAAUACCAACAUUGUCUUUUUACUAAGGUUUAUGUAUAGUCUUCAGAUUGGUAGGGUUGUCUUGGAAGAGGCUGUGGUAUAGGUGAUAGACGAAAGCAGAGGUGAAUCCAUUUUAUUCUUUUUUUGAUUUCAGCAGUUACUUUCAUGUAGAACAUCAUUUCAAGGUUGGUUUUAAACAUUGUUGGAGAUGGAAGUAGUUAAUCUCAGUUCCCAGUUUAAUUCAAUUUAGACACCCUGACCUAUCCUGUUAAAGAGUUUUGGUGUAGAUUUGUCUUAGACCAUAAUGGGUUUGAUGGGAUUGUGACAAUUGAAACAAAUAUGAUAACUAUUAGCAUAUGUGUGAUAAAUUCUGAAUGGUACAAACAAAUAUAUUUUAUUAGCAACCAAGAGCAGAAUUGAAAAGAAUUCAUUUUCCAUUUCAACAAAAAUAUGGAUGAAAAGGAAUGGUUAAAGUAAAAUGGCCUAAAAAAAUAUGACUAAGUUUUUUAGAUCAAACUGGCAUGAUGACAGACCUGAUUAUAUGUGUGGGCCUAAAAAAAACUCAUUUUCAUAUCUGUUAAAACCAAUUUAUUUUUUCAUGCUGCAGCUUUUUUAAAUAUUCCUUGUAAUACUCAGCUGUAAACAUUCUGCUUCCUUGUCCUCUGUAUUUGAAAAGUGUAUGUGGUUUGGUUGAAACAACUGAAUUAUAGUCAAUUCUGACCAAUAUUCAUGCGAAAUAAGCUUUGUCUAUGCAAUACAUCAUUCUGAACAUGCAUGAAAUAUUUCCCACUGGAUGUUAAGCAACCUACAAUCAAUCAAUUUAUAUAACACAAAAAACGUUUUAUCACCUUAUUCGGUUAGAUUUGACAGGAACAAGAUAAACAUUUUAGAUACAUUUUUAAUACAGAGUAGGUUGUGGUUGAAGACUCCUAACGUCAGUAAAUUAAUUUAAUUUGCUGACCAGCCGAAAUAUGUCCCUCUGAAAUACAUGAAAGGCCUGAGUAUGGGAUAAUUACAUUUCUACUUUCAGUACCUGUGAAUCCGAAAUCUUGACUAUUGGCUCUGUACAGUUUGAAAUUGUACUUUACUUCUAACAGAAGCAAAGACUCCGAUUAAACUGAACAAAUAACCCAUGAUAAUGAUGUAGUACUUGAAAUGCCAUCCCAGUUAUUUAUAUAUGGUUCAGAAGAUCUUACCUAAAAACGUGAAGAAAAUGCAAGAUUUCAUAAAUCCACGAAAAAUUUAGAAUUUAGUGAAUAUUUUGCCAGACCUAGUUCGUCCUGUUGCUCUUCUCACAUCUAUCUGUUUGUCAAUACCUGAUAUAGAGAGAAUUGACGCAGUAGGAAUAUAGGUCAAUUGUAAUCACAACUGCUUACUGGCCGGUUGUAACUUGGGUAAAUUACAAUAAUUCAUAGAACGAGAAAGGUCGAUGCUGUUAAAAGGAAAAGUACUAUUGAAAUAAAAAUGGUCACGAUGAUGAGGAAAAGGCUACUUAUGAAAGACUUUAAAUUGUCCUGUCUUGAAAAAUAUUCUUCAUCCUAUCAGAAUGCCACUGGGUUGAACCGUCUUUUCAUGAAACUUGAGAGAUUUUUUUUUUAAUCAAGAAAGGCUAUUGUAUAUAAAUACGCAUUUACGAUAGCUCUUCAAACUGGUUAAUCGUUGCAUCGUAAAACAUGAUGUACCCUGCUUCGUAUACAGAACGUCAAAGAAUGACUAGAUGAUUGCCUGCACAAUUUUGAAGAAAGUCGAUCAGUCGUUUAACGAAUUUAAGGAUAUAAUAGUUCAAUUCAGGAAGCCCAAUUGAAAAAGGAAUUGCUGGUCAUUUUCUACUUUGAAACUUUGAAAAAAAUAAACUUAGAAGAUAAAGAUCCAGAAAUAUUAAUCUCUCAUAUUUGAAUAAAUGGCGACUGAACUCUACCCUCAAAUAAUCGGGAGUGUUUCCUCCUAUCCGUUUAAAUCAUUACCGUUUGGUUUCCUUCCUCGAGAUAUACCGGUAGAUGUAUAAAGGCUAUAACACUAUUAGCAAAGUAACCUGUAAAUUUUGAAUUGCUAUGACCUGAUAAAAUCAAUUAUAUACGUUAAUUUUAGAAUGCAACACCAUUAUAUGAAUUCGUCAAUUAAAACGUUUGUUAAGCCACCAAACCCUGUAUGAAUGGUACUGACUUUGGGAGAGCAACAAAAUCUUUGACGGGAGGCGAAAGGUGACUAUUACAAGUAAAUUACUUGCCAAGAAAUGCGUUUUAUUCCAGUUCCGAAGGUAACAAAUGGUAACCUUGACAUGUUGAUGUGGUUUAGGAAAAUGACUGCUUCGAUAGUUCUGCCUUCGGAGGCCGGUGGUCCUUCUAGAGCCAGACCAGACUUGAAACUUGGUCUCUGCUGCGUCUCCACCAAUCAUGCACACUUAUGAGAGUAGGUCAGACACAUUUCAGCACGUGCACUCUUGGUUUUAUAUCAGUUUGGACCAUAUUUUAUUGAUUAUAUCGGGUUUUAAAGGUUUUGUGUCUUAUCUGUAACAGUUUGAGGUUAUAUAAUCCAUUUGAAUGUUUUGUUUUCUUAAGUGUUAGCUUUUCGGUCAUUGGUAACCAGUAUAGUAUCAUCUUGGUUGUCUUCUGCUUUUUGGUCGAGUUGUCUCUUCCUUUAAUUAUGAGUUCCCUGUUUUCCAUUCUUUUAUUCUUUCUACUUACUGUAUGGUAAAACAAUCUUGUUAUCGAAUAGAUGUUUUCAAUGUUAUAAAUUGAUCCAGCGGGUUUCGGGUUUUAUUUCCAUUUAAUAAAAUAAAAACGAAGAUAUUAAUGAUAAUCGGUCACCAAUCAAUAUAGAGACCAACAAUAUAACUGAAUUAUAAGUAAAUGCAUACCAAUCAGCCUGAAUAAGAGUACACAUAUUUCGCCCCUGACGAAAAUGCCUUCAAUGUGAUACAGCCAUUUUCUAGCACAGUAUAUAUACUAAAUAUAAACCUGGUAACCAAAGGUAAAAUCAGGAUACUAAUUUGGUAGUGUUCGGCCGCCAGCAGUUGCCAUGCAAUAGAUUAUAAUCUGUUCCAACACAUGCUUUUCUCUUUUUGAUAUAUUGAAAACUGGACGUCAAGUUCAAUAUUGACGAAAUUUCACUUUUACCGCCAACGAGUUGAUGUCCUUGCUAUAUUGAAAAAUAGAAACUUAUGUCGUUUCCAUACAAUAAUUUAAUGAGCCGUUUAACCAAUACUCUUCAAAUUUUGAUAUGACGAUGACCAAAUUGCAGAACUGUUUGACAUUGACGAUUUUCACUUUUCCCGUACAUGAGUUACGGUCCUUGUUAUAUUUGAAAAAUGGCAACUUCCGAACAAUUACUUAUGAGCCGUGCAACCAAUGUAAUUCAAAUUUGAUAUGCUAAUGACAAAACGGAGGUCAAAUUCGAUAUUGACGAUUUUCAGUUUUUAAUGAGUUACGGCCCUUGCUAUAUUCGAAAACGACUACCAACCUUUGUUCCAAUGAUUUUCAAAUUAUGAUGUUCCUGAUGACAAAAUGGAGGUCAAAUGCACCUCUCUUUAGAUAUUGAUGGUUUCUUUUUUUUUUACGGUUAAGGAGUUAUGGCCCUUAAUAUACCGAAAAAAUGCACUUUGUCUUUUCCGUUCUAUUAACUAUAAACAACUCGACUUAUGCUAUGCUACCGAUGAAAAAAUAAAAGGUCAAGUUCAAUAUCGAUGAUUCUUACUUUUGUAGUGUAUAAAGCCAGUGUGUUUUUUUUUUGUUUUUUUUUUGUUGAUACAUUGGAAAAUGGCACUUUAUGUCGUUUCAGUGCAAUUACUGGCGAACCGUUGAGCUAGCGAUUUGAACAUUUGAAAAUGCAGUCACUAAUGAGAAAGUGGUAAUCGAGUUUGAUAUUGAACAUUUUCUUGUUAGGUCGAUCAUAGAAUGGAAAAUGAACACAGAAUAUGACGUGUCAAAAAAGCAGUGUUUGCUGUUAAUUUGCCUUUAGUUGGUAUAACUUUUUUUUUGUAGAAUAUGUUAAAGUUCUUUGUAUUGUUGAUCCUAUGAUAGUUAUGUCCAUCGGCGUCAACAUUUAGGGACAGUCUGUUAGCGUUAUAUUGGACAUGUUUUUUAACUUGAUCUAUCCUAAAUGGAAUUCAAUGACAUUUAGACAGAAACUCAUUAUGACUAAAAGACAAUAGCCAGAGCAAACUGUGUUUGUUUUACAGUAUCGUUUAGAUAAAGUCACCAAUAACUUUUUCAAACCUUCAUAAAAAAUUUGGUAAUUUGGGCAGAAGCUUUUUUAUGAUCAAAAGACAUUAUCAAGAGUAAAAUUAAUAAUAAAAUUGUCUUUUUUUAUUCUUCCGUAUUUCAGAGACAUCUCUGCUAUUUCAUUGAUUAAGAAUUACAAAAUAUUGAUACAAACCCGGUUCUGUGAGUCUGUUUAUAGCCUGAGAUCUUAGUUCACUGUUCGAUAGUAUUGUCGCGAAGAGGGGGUUUGCCAAGGACCCAUACUAGUCGGUUAAGUACACAUUUGGCAGGUCGGUUCAACCUUCCAUCAUGUUGCAUCAAUAAACUUACGGUUAUCGCUAGAUUUAUAGACAUGUCUGUUAUUUUUUUUUGUUCUAGAAGUAUUUGUGUAUUGGUAAAAAAAAAAAAGCAUUUUUUUUUACCGAAUUUACUUUGAUCAGAUUAUUUUUGACGAACUUAGCGGUAUUGGUGUCUCUCGCCAUCUCGGAAUAUAAAAUAGCAGAACGCAAUAGGGCUAGAUUCUCAAUCAAAUCAGCAAAUGUUUAUGUAGAAAUGUAAUUAAGAAAUUGAUUUUUUAUUUAAAAUGGACACUUGUUAGUGAGUGUUACUUUUAUAUCUGAUACUCUCACAAAAGUGGAUUAUAUUUGCUUAUUUUCUAUUUUUUUUUAAUUAAGGAAUUAAGGGGAUGUUACUCAGAAUAGUUUCGGAAUCUAUAAAUGACUUUUUUUAGUAUUCUUUCUACAGUAAACAUCCAAUGUAUAAGGUUUUACUAUUGGGUUUACAGAUGAAUUUGAACGGAA